UACGUAGGGUGCAAGCGUUGUCCGGAAUUAUUGGGCGUAAAGAGCUUGUAGGCGGUUUGUCGCGUCUGCUGUGAAAUUUCGGGGCUCAACCCCGAACUUGCAGUGGGUACGGGCAGACUAGAAUUCGGUAGGGGAGACUGGAAUUCCUGGUGUAGCGGUGGAAUGCGCAGAUAUCAGGAGGAACACCGGUGGCGAAGGCGGGUCUCUGGGCCGAUACUGACGCUGAGGAGCGAAAGCGUGGGGAGCGAACAGG
rnacentral:rRNA from 1 species